CGUUUUCAUUGGGUUUGUAAAAUCUGUUUUUAUGCAUGUUUUGGUCUGAGUUUUUGUUGCAUUGACACAGUUUUGACCAGCAGGAGUCACCAGCGUGUGGUGUUUGCUUCGAAAUGGUUCGUUUCUCCCAUCACUACUACCCUUCUAACACUUUCUGUCAUCCAAUCAGGUUUCAGCUCAGCCUCUAAGUCCCUCCUCUCAGCAAGCAGCCCAGGAGCUUAGCUCCGCGCAGCUGACCCCUGUGACCCUCGCUCAGGGCCAGCCUCUACAGACGUCCACCAGUCAGACACAAGGUGCUGCACAGCAUGCGUACCUUCCCAGCAACUGGAACUACAGGAGUUAUCGUAAGCAUCUUCAGCAAAAGCUUCUCUAAUAGAUAUUUAUUGUUAUAUUAACCUAUAUUUAUACAGAAAACAUAAUGGCAGCCUUUUGUUUUCCUCCUUUUGCUCCUGUAAGCAGCUGAGAUCCAGAUGAUGGCUCUUCCUCAUACUCAGUAUGUGAUAGCAGAGGCCAGCACCCCCGUCACUGCUGCCGUCAACAGCAGUCAGGUCAAAACGACACACUAUGUGAUCGCAGAAGGACAGACGGAGCUGGAUGGUAAGCAGGUGAAUGUCCCGUCCACCGCAGCACAGGUUCACCCCGACCCACUGGAGCAGCCGGCCGUCAGUCAGCAGACCACCACGCAGUACAUCAUCACCACCACCACCA
rnacentral:lncRNA from 1 species